AUUGUUACAUGUAACACUGGC
rnacentral:miRNA from 1 species